rnacentral:hammerhead_ribozyme from 1 species
ACCUAGCUGACGUAUUCCGAACAGGACAAAACGCGCGUCCUGCAU